rnacentral:lncRNA from 1 species
AUAGAAAUCAUUACUUAAUCCCCCUUAUUUAUUUUUUAAAAAGAUUCAUUCUGACUUCUCUUUCUAAAUGCCAGAUGUACAUCAACCAGGCCUUCUCUAACCCCAGAGACAGUGGACUUGGUGACAGUGCUGAUAUCUACUGUAGCGAUGCAUUGUAACUUGGCUAACUCUAGUUAGUUCCGAUAUUAACAGGCCCAGCAUAGGCUGCUAAAACACAUUGACGAUUUAAAAAUAGAUUUUUAACUCUUACUUGUAACUGGUACUCAACCUCUUUGCCACCUUUUGUUAACAAGUAACAAAGUUGAUUGCUUAAUUUCACUUCCUCUUCUUUUUCUUUCCUCUUCUCGUGAGAUGGUAAUGAACAGUGAAAUAACCAAGGCAGGCAAGGCUCUGUGGAAAAGAAACUGGCAUUAUUCACAAUAGCCAAGAUAUGGAACCAAUCUAAGUGUCCACCAACAAAUGAAUGAAUUAAGAAAAUGUGUCAACAUAUACACAAUGGAAUACUAUUUAGCCUUAAAAAAGAAGAAAAGAGGAGAGCUCCCUACUUUGGCCUCAGAACAUUAAAUAUUGCAUCAAACAGGGUGUUGCUCGUCACUCAGGUUGGAGCGCAGUGGCACAAUUAUAGCUUGCUGCAGCCUCGAACUCCCAGAUUUUAGGGGUCCUCCUGCUUCAGCCUCUCAAGUAAUUGGGACUACAGAUGUGUGUCACCAUGCACAGAUAAUUUUUUUUACCCCAAGAGAUGAAGUCUUGCUUUGCUG